rnacentral:lncRNA from 1 species
GCGUAUGCAUGCAGGACCUCGUAGGCAAACUGCCGGGCCACAUCUCCCAUCUUUAGGUACUGCUUCCAUGGGUGAAAACGUCGCUGCCACCGUUGCGUACGUGCGCCCACCCGAGGAGGAAGAAAGAAGAAGAAAGGGGAGAAGAACCACACGUUAUUGCGCGCUCAAAACAAAUCGGUGCAGUCGUCUGCACAUCGACCGUGAUCAUGCAGCUUCGGUACCUACCGAGAAGACUGAGACGGCGAGGAGAAACGGCUCCCCCUUCUCUCCACAUCGCACUGCUCCGUGGUGAGCAGCGACUCCCGGUGCCGAUGCAAUCGGCGUGGCGAGAUCCGCACCUGGUCGUACGACAUCAAAGCAUCAUGGCAUCAAAAGAGGAAGAGGGAGAUCGAGUUACCCACCUACGGUGAAUUCCAUUGACGACGGUCGAUCGCCCGACCCCUCCGACGAUUGGAUGAUCUCGAGGGUUUUUGUCUUUUUUCCACUUUCCUUCCUGUUUAGAACACGAGGGUAUUUAUAGGGAAGCUUAUUGUUUCCUGAUAUGCCCGCUUGCAGGGAGCAGGAUCGUACUCCUGGCGUGAAGGAUCGAGCCUGAGCUACUGUGUCUCGGCCGGCGGUCCGAUCUGUUAGACUAGGUGGUGUCAGGUCAACCGAGACGUCAUCUAGGGCUGGCAUCAACCCGAGUCUUAUCGUCAUUAUUACCCUAAUCAGGC